rnacentral:rRNA from 1 species
UGUGGGCGAAUCUUCCACAAUGGACGAAAGUCUGAUGGAGCAACGCCGCGUGAGUGAAGAAGGGUUUCGGCUCGUAAAACUCUGUUGUUAAAGAAGAACAUAUCUGAGAGUAACUGUUCAGGUAUUGACGGUAUUUAACCAGAAAGCCACGGCUAACUACGUGCCAGCAGCCGCGGUAAUA